CGAAAGCCUGACGGAGCAAGACCGCGUGGGGGAGGAAUGCCUUAGGGUUGUAAACCCCUUUUAUCUGGGAAGAACAAAAUGACGGUACCAGAUGAAUAAGCCUCGGCUAACUCCGUGCCAGCAGCCGCGGUAAUACGGAGGAGGCAAGCGUUAUCCGGAAUUAUUGGGCGUAAAGAGUCCGUAGGUGGUCUUUCAAGUCUGCUGUUAAAGGCAGAAGCUUAACUUCUGAUAGGCAGUGGAAACUGAAAGACUAGAGUAUGGUAGGGGUAGAGGGAAUUCCCAGUGUAGCGGUGAAAUGCGUAGAGAUUGGGAAGAACACCGGUGGCGAAAGCGCUCUACUGGGCCAAAACUGACACUGAGGGACGAAAGCUAGGGUAGCG
rnacentral:rRNA from 1 species